rnacentral:rRNA from 1 species
GGUUAAGCGACUAAGCGUACACGGUGGAUGCCCUGGCAGUCAGAGGCGAUGAAGGGCGUGCUAAUCUGCGAUAAGCGCCGGUAAGGUGAUAUGAACCGUUAUAACCGGCGAUACCCGAAUGGGGAAACCCAGUGUGAUUCGUCACACUAUCAUUAACUGAAUCCAUAGGUUAAUGAGGCGAACCGGGGGAACUGAAACAUCUAAGUACCCCGAGGAAAAGAAAUCAACCGAGAUUCCCCCAGUAGCGGCGAGCGAACGGGGAGGAGCCCAGAGCCUGAAUCAGCAUGUGUGUUAGUGGAAGCGUCUGGAAAGGCGCGCGAUACAGGGUGACAGCCCCGUACACAAAAGCGCAUAUGCUGUGAGCUCGAUGAGUAGGGCGGGACACGUGGUAUCCUGUCUGAAUAUGGGGGGACCAUCCUCCAAGGCUAAAUACUCCUGACUGACCGAUAGUGAACCAGUACCGUGAGGGAAAGGCGAAAAGAACCCCGGCGAGGGGAGUGAAAAAGAACCUGAAACCGUGUACGUACAAGCAGUGGGAGCCCCACCACUAAGCCAGUGGUGAACUCCACAUACGCAUCCUUUGCUGAGGAGACGGUUAACGGAGCGAAAGCGACGUUCAACCUCAAAAGAAGCAGAGGGGGCUUAGUGGUGGGGUGACUGCGUACCUUUUGUAUAAUGGGUCAGCGACUUAUAUUCUGUAGCAAGGUUAACUGUAUAGGGGAGCCGGAGGGAAACCGAGUCUUAACCGGGCGUUAAGUUGCAGGGUAUAGACCCGAAACCCGGUGA